ensembl:lncRNA
ACAGAGUCAAUGUGGAGGCUAUAUACAGGGUAUUACGGUACAGAGUCAAUGUGGAGGCUAUAUACAGGGGUACCGGUACAGAGUCAAUGUGGAGACUAUAUACAGGGGGUACCAGUACAGAGUCAAUGUGGAGGCUAUAUACAGGGUGUACCGGUACAGAGUCAAUGUGGAGGCUAUAUACAGGGGGUACCGGUACAGAGUCAAUGUGGAGGCUAUAUACAGGGGGUACCGGUACAGAGUCAAUGUGGAGGCUAUAUACAGGGGGUACCGGUACAGAGUCAAUGUGGAGGCUAUAUACAGGGUAUUACGGUACAGAGUCAAUGUGGAGGCUAUAUACAGGGGGUACCGGUACAGAGUCAAUGUGGAGGCUAUAUACAGGGGGUACCGGUACAGAGUCAAUGUGGAGGCUAUAUACAGGGGGUACCGGUACAGAGUCAAUGUGGAGGCUAUAUACAGGGUGUACCAGUACAGAGUCAAUGUGGAGGCUAUAUACAGGGGGUACCAGUACAGAGUCAAUGUGGAGGCUAUAUACAGGGGGUACCGGUACAGAGUCAAUGUGGAGGCUAUAUACAGGGGGUACCGGUACAGAGUCAAUGUGGAGGCUAU